rnacentral:rRNA from 1 species
CGUUUAGGGGUAAACCUGAGAAACCCGAAAGGUCGAAGGAAGAAAUUCAUUCGCGUUUCGAUGUUGGCGAUGAGCGUUCGAGCGACGCGAGGCGUUCGCGUCUCGCGCGCCUUUCGUUCGUCGAUCCGGCGACGAACGCGUGCACUUUUCUUCUGGUAGGACGUCGCGAUCCGUUGGGUGUCAGUCUACGGCGUGCGGUGGAGCCCGUCGGUCGUUUCGACGACUGGCGGACCCGUGCGUUCCGGCUGACUCGCUCGACGGUAUACGAAAGGUUAAGGGCCGCUCUUUGGAGCGUUCGACUCUCGGCAAGCGCGCCAGACGUGUCGUCAAUCGGACCUCGUGCCGAUUUCGGCCUCUGGUGACUGUUGGCCGUGGAAGUUCUCGGACAGACUCUGGACCGAUCUGCGACGCUAUAGCUUUGGGUACUUUCAGGACCCGUCUUGAAACACGGACCAAGGAGUCUAGCAUGUGCGCGAGUCAUUGGGAAUCACUAAACCUAAAGGCGUAAUGAAAGUGAAGGUCUUCCUAGCGGAGACCGAGGGAAGACGGGCGGUUCGCCGUUAAAAGCGGCCGUUCAGCAUUCCCGGGGCGUCUCAUUCUCAUCGCGAGAAGAGGCGCACCAAGAGCGUACACGCUGGGACCCGAAAGAUGGUGAACUAUGCCUGGUCAGGACGAAGUCAGGGGAAACCCUGAUGGAGGUCCGUAGCGAUUCUGACGUGCAAAUCGAUCGUCGGAACUGGGUAUAGGGGCGAAAGACUAAUCGAACCAUC